GUUUACAGGCACUCAAGUUUCUGCGUGUGUAAUUGUGGCAUUAGAAUGAAUCGAACAAAAGUCGAGGAAAAAAAAUGUGAAUUAGGAAAAAUCGACGUUACUUCUCCAACAGAAGUUGUUGAUUAUGCAGCUGGUCUGCAUCGUGAAAU